AUUGAACGCUGGCGGCAUGCCUAACACAUGCAAGUCGAACGGCAGCACAGAAAGACUUCGGUCUUUUGGGUGGCGAGUGGCGGACGGGUGAGUAACGCGUAGGAAUCUGCCUCUUAGCGGGGGAUAACCCGGGGAAACUCGGGCUAAUACCGCAUAAUCUCGAAAGAGGAAAGGAUGGGGACCUUCGGGCCAUUCACUGAGAGAGGAGCCUGCGUUGGAUUAGCUAGUUGGUGGGGUAAAGGCCUACCAAGGCGACGAUCCAUAACUGGUCUGAGAGGAUGACCAGUCACACUGGGACUGAGACACGGCCCAGACUCCUACGGGAGGCAGCAGUGGGGAAUAUUGGACAAUGGGGGCGAACCCUGAUCCAGCAAUGCCGCGUGUGUGAAGAAGGCCUGCGGGUUGUAAAGCACUUUAGGUAACGAGGAAAGUCUACGCGUAAAUAGCGUGUAGAAUUGACGUUAGUUACAGAAUAAGCACCGGCUAACUCUGUGCCAGCAG
rnacentral:rRNA from 1 species